CGGACGGGUGAGUAACGCGUGAGAAUCUGGCUUCAGGUCUGGGACAACCACUGGAAACGGUGGCUAAUACCGGAUGUGCCCUUCGGGGUGAAAGGUUAACUGCCUGAAGAUGAGCUCGCGUCUGAUUAGCUAGUUGGAAGUGUAAUGGACUCCCAAGGCGACGAUCAGUAGCUGGUCUGAGAGGACGAUCAGCCACACUGGGACUGAGACACGGCCCAGACUCCUACGGGAGGCAGCAGUGGGGAAUUUUCCGCAAUGGGCGAAAGCCUGACGGAGCAAUACCGCGUGAGGGAGGAAGGCCCUUGGGUCGUAAACCUCUUUUCUCAGGGAAGAACACAAUGACGGUACCUGAGGAAUAAGCAUCGGCUAACUCCGUGCCAGCAGCCGCGGUAAUACGGAGGAUGCAAGCGUUAUCCGGAAUGAUUGGGCGUAAAGCGUCCGCAGGUGGCAAUGUAAGUCUGCUGUUAAAGAGUCUAGCUCAACUAGAUAAGAGCAGUGGAAACUACAUAGCUAGAGUACGUUCGGGGCAGAGGGAAUUCCUGGUGUAGCGGUGAAAUGCGUAGAGAUCAGGAAGAACACCAGUGGCGAAGGCGCUCUGCUAGGCCGUAACUGACACUGAGGGACGAAAGCUAGGGGAGCGAAUGGGAUUAGAUACCCCAGUAGUC
rnacentral:rRNA from 1 species